ensembl:lncRNA
AAGAAACUGAAGCUGAGAUGCUGAGUGAUUUGUCCAAAGUCUCACAACUAAUGAGUAUCUGAGGCAUGAUUUGAACUCAGGAAAUCCUUCACCACCAAUAGGAGAACCAGUAGCCACAUAUCCUUCCCAAGAAGAGUGCUUAGUGGUAAGCCUAGAUGGAUACCUCCAUGGAAGACAGCCACUACUGGAGGGAGAAGAAAGGAGUGGAGAGUAGAAGGGAGUGGAAAGGAUGAGUUCCCAGGGUCAUCAUGUUCUCUGCCCGCUUCAUGCAAAGGACUUCAUUUUCGCCGAGGAAGCAGUACAAUGGGUACUUAAAGCUCUCUUCCUAGCCAAGCCUGCUAUCCAGAAAGCAAGAGCCAAAGGGAUGAUGUUUCUGUCUUGGAAUUAAGCUCUCGUCUUCUCUGCCUGCAGC